CGUCUCCCGGUCCCACGUCUCGGAAUCAGGUAAAAAUUACCAAAUAUGAACAUUCAUUCACUCACGAGAUAACUCGUACCAAAAUUAUCCAAAUCCGAUGUCCAAAUUCCACUCAAAACUCAAAAAUUCGGUUGGGGAACUUCCCCCCAUUUCCCCAACUUUCUCACUCAAAUUCCUUAAUUAAAUGAAGAAAACAAUAAUAAAUUAUUGAAAUAUGAUCAAAAUCAAGUUAGGAAUCAUUACCCCAAAGCUUUCUCUUAAAAUCCCUCAAGAAAUCGCCUUCUUCCUGGCUAAAAAAUCAAAUUUGUGAAUAUGAACCUCAACCCUCGAUUCUGCCCCUUUUCUGCCCAGCGAUCUUCGCACUUGCGGGCCAUGGGUCUCACCUGCGAUGCCGCAUCUGCGGAAAAUCCCUAGCAGGUGCAAAAAUCACUUAAGAGGGCUAGGUUCGCAUCUGCGGCAAUGGGGGCCGCACCUGCACAUACGCGCUUGUAGAACACUGUCCGCUUCUGCGUUCUUCCUACGUGCCUGCAAAUCCUGUUAAGCCAGGAGCAGGACCGAGACUUUGCUUAGCCCUCCAGGAGACUCUGGCCCAGUUCAUGAGCAUGUUCAACACCUUAGCUCAAGCUGGAUUGAUUCCCUUAGCUCCCGCCACAUCUCAGGCCGGGGGAGGGGCACAGACUCCUACAGCCCACACUCCUGAGCAGAGGGUCCAGGUUGAUCAGACCCCAAAGUUCAUUCCUAUGCUGCCGGUAGCCCCGGUUCAGCCUCAGACUAGGACAGCCGCUUCUGAGGUGGAGCAUCUCAGACUUGAGAGGUACCAGAAGUACCACUCACCUACCUUCAACAGAUUGGCUACAGAUGAUGCUCAGGGUUUUCUGGAGGAGUGUCAUCAUAUUCUCCAUACUAUGGGCGUAGCGGAGAUGAGUGAGGUUUCUUUUACCACUUUCCAGCUUAGAGGAGCAGCCUAUCAGUGGUGGCGUGCUUAUCAGUUGAGUAGUCCAUAUGAGGUAGCUUCACUUGCAUGGACUCAGUUCUCGGACAUAUUUUUGAGAGAGUAUGUCCCUUAGAGCCUCAGGGACUCAUGGCGCGUGGAGUUUGAGUUGCUGCGCUAGGGUGCUAUGACUGUGUCAGAGUAUGCAGUCCGCUUCAGUGAUUUGGCCCGACAUGCACCAACCUUGGUUGCCACAGUUCGAGAGAGGGUUUGACGAUUUAUUGAGGGACUCCACCCCAGUAUCAGGAUUAGUAUGUUUAGAUAGCUGGAGAUGGAUAUUCCUUACCAGCAGGUUAUGAGUAUUGCUAGGAGAUUGGAGGGCAUGCUUGCCCAGGACCGAGAGGAUAGAGAGGCCAAGAGGUCUCGAGAGACUGGUUCUUAUUCUGGAGCUCGUGCCCCAGCUGCCCGCCAUGGUAGGGGUUAUGUGGGUCGCCCCGUUCAUUCAGCUCUUCCAGCCGCCAAUGGUGUUCCAGCCCCUUCUAGGCCCCAGGAGCCUUAUUAUGCACCGCCAGGAUCCUCCUGCAUGGGGUGCUUUUAGCAGCCAGUCCAGCAGACCUGGCCCGAGUCAGUCGCACCAUCCACACCCUCUGAGGGCUUAUUUUGAGUGUGGAGACACCCGCCAUAUGGUGAGGGAUUGCCCCAGACAUAGGAGGGUUGCACCUCCACAGACUUCUUAGCCACCGCGUGCUCCACCAGGUCCUCAAUCCAUGAUUCCAGCACUAGCUACUUCCCCACCUGCUCAGCCAGCUUGUGGUGGAGGUCGGGGAGGUCGAGGUUGCCCUAGAGGGGGAGGCCAGGCCAGGUAUUAUGCUCUUAUGGCUCGUACAAAGGUAGUUGCUUCCGACUCUAUCAUCACAGGUAUUGUUCCAGUCUGUCAUAGAGAUGAGUCGGUAUUAUUUGACCCAGGCUAUACGUAUUCAUAUGUGUUCUCUUAUUUUGCCCCACAUUUGGCAUAUCUCGUGAUUCUUUGAGUUUCCCUGUUUAUGUGUCUACUCCUGUGGGAGAUUCUAUUGUUAUGGAAUGAGUGUAUCAGUCGUGUUUGAUUGCUCUUAGUGGUUUUGAGACUAGAGCUGACUUAUUAUUACUCAGCAUGAUAGAUUUUGAUAUUAUCUUGGGCAUGGAUUGGUUAUCACCCCAUUAUGCUAUUCUUGAUUGUCACGCUAAGAUCAUGAGGCUGGCUAUGCCAGGCUUACCGCGGUUAGAGUGGAGAGGUACCUUAGAGUAUACUCCCAGCAGAGUUAUUUCAUUUCUUAAAGCUCAACGAAUGGUUGAGAAGGGAUGUGACGCGUAUCUAGCUUAUGUGAGAGAUGUCAGUAUUGAUACCCCUAUAGUUGAGUCAGUUCUAGUAGUGAGGGACUUUCCAGAUGUGUUCCCAACUGAUCUUCCGAGCAUGGCGCCCGACAGAGAUAUUAAUUUUGGCAUUGAUUUAUUGCCGGGCACUCAGCCCAUCUCUAUUCCUCCAUAUCGUAUGGCUCCUCCUGAGUUAAAGGAGUUGAAGGAGCAGUUACAAGAAUUGCUUGAUAAGGGCUUCAUUUAUCCCAAUGUGUCACCUUGGGGUGCUCCUGUCUUGUUUGUGAAGAAAAAUGAUGGUUCUAUGCGUAUGUGUAUUGAUUAUCGCUAGUUUAACAAAGUCACAGUGAAGAAUAGGUAUCCUUUGCCUCAUAUUGAUGACCUAUAUGAUUAGUUACAGGGUGCCAAAGUGUUUUCCAUGAUUGACUUGCGUUCGGGCUAUCAUCAGUUGAAGAUUCGGGGGCCAGAUAUCCCGAAGACUACUUUCAGGAGCAGACAUGGUCACUAUGAGUUUCUUGUUAUGUCUUUUGGGCUGACCAAUGCCCCAGUAGCUUUUAUGCACUUGAUGCAUAGUGUGUUCCGACCCUAUAUUGAUUCUUUCAUCAUCGUAUUCAUUGAUGACAUUCUAGUAUAUUCCCGGACUCAGGAUGAUCAUGAGCAGCACCUGAGGACAGUGCUUCAGACAUUCACAGAAAAAAAGUUGUAUGCAAAGUUCUCAAAAUAUGAGUUCUGGUUAGACUCCGUGGCAUUUUUGGGUCAUAUUUUGUUGAGUGAGGGGAUCAAGGUGGAUCCGAAGAAGGUGGAAGUAGUGUAGUGUUGGCCCAGACUGUCCUAAGCUACAGAGAUCCGGAGUUUUCUUAGGUUGGCGGGGUAUUACCGUCGGUUUAUUGAGGGAUUUUCUUCUAUUGCAACACUUAUGACCAGGCUGACCCAGAAGGGUGCUCCGUUCAGGUGGACAAAGGAGUGUGAGAAGAUCUUUCAGAAGCUUAUGAUAGCUUUGACCACAAUACCAGUAUUGGUGUUGCCUUCAGGUUCGUGGUCUUAUACAUUGUGAUGCAUCACGAGUUGGCCUCGGCGCGGUGUUGAUGCAGCACCGUAGGGUGAUUGCCUACGCGUCCAGACAACUGAAGGUGCAUGAUAGGUACGGCGUUCCUUGUGAGAUCUACACUGAUCACCGGAGUUUGCAGUAUCUGUUCAAGCGGAAGGAUCUUAAUCUACGUCAAAGGAGGUGGUUAGAGCUGCUUAAGGAUAAUGACAUCGCCAUUUUGUACCACCCGGGGAAGGACAAUGUGGUGGCCGAUGCUUUGAGUCGUUGGGCAGAGAGUUUGGGGAUUUUAGCUUAUCUACCCGCAGCAGAGAGGCCCAUGGCAUUGGAUGUUCAGGCCUUAGCCAGCAAGUUUGUGAGAUUGGAUAUUUCUGAGCCGAGUCGAGUACUGGCUUAUGUGGUCUCUCGAUCUUCCCUUUAUGAUCGUAUCAGGGAGCGUCAGUAUGAUGACCCCCAUCAUCUUGUCCUUAAGGACACGGUCCAGCACGGUGAUGCUAAGAAGGUCAUUAUUGGGGAGGAUGGUGCAUUGAGGAUCAGGGUAGGUUAUGUGUGCCCAAUGUGGACGGUUUGCCUGAGUUGAUUCUCCAGGAGGCUCACAGCUCACGGUACUCCAUUCAUCCGGGUGACGCGAAGAUGUAUCAGGACCUGAGGCAGCAUUAUUGGUGGAGGAGGCUGAACAAGGACAUAGUAGAGUAUGUGGCUAGAUGCCAAAAUUGCUAGCAGGUGAAGUAUGAGCAUCAGCGACCGGGUAGGUUGCUUCAGAAGAUAGAGAUUCCAGAGUGAAAAUAGGAGCUGAUCACUAUGGACUUCUUUGUUGGACUCCCACGGACUCAGCGGAAGUUUGAUGCAUUUUGGGUGAUUGUGGACAGGCUGACCAAGUCAGCUCAUUUCAUUCCUGUGAUGACUACCUAUUCUUCCGAGUAGCGGACUCAAGUUUAUAUCCGAGAGAUUGUCAGAUUUCAUGGCGUGCCGGUAUCUAUCAUCUCUGACUGGGGCACGCAGUUUACAUUGCAGUUCUGGAGAGCCGUACAGCAAGAAUUGGGUACUCGGGUGGAGUUGAGCACAACCUAUCGCCCUAAGACGGACGGGCAGUCCGAGCGCACAAUUUAGAUUCUUGAGGAUAUGCUCCGUGCGUGUGUGAUGGAGUUUGGAGCUUCUUGGGACCAGUUCUUGCCACUUGCGGAGUUUGCUUAAAAUAACAGUUAUCAGUCCAGCAUUCAGAUGGCACUGUAUCAGGCUCUGUAUGGUAGGUGGUGUCGGUCCCCAGUGGAUUGGUUCGAGCCCGGCAAGGCCAGAUUAUUGGAUACGGACUUGGUCCAGGAUGCCUUGAAAAAGGUUAAGGUGAUUCAGGAUAGACUUCGCACAGCCCAGUCCAGACAGAAGAGUUAUGUGGAUCGGAAGGCUCGCGAUGUGGCAUUCAUGGUUGGAGAGCGAGUCUUGCUCCGAGUUUUGCCUAUGAAAGGCGUUAUGAGAUUUGGAAAGAAGGGAAAGCUGAGCCCAAGGUUCAUUGGUCCAUUUGAGGUGUUGCGGCGAGUUGGGGAGGUUUCCUAUGAGAUUGCCUUGCCUCCCAUUCUAGCAAGAGUUCAUCCGGUAUUCCAUGUUUCUAUGCUCCGGAAGUAUCAUGACGAUCCAUCUCAUGUGUUGGAUUUCAGCUCAGUCCAAUUGGACAAUGAUCUAUCUUAUAUUNNNNNNNNNNNNNNNNNNNNNNNNNNNNNNNNNNNNNNNNNNNNNNNNNNNNNNNNNNNNNNNNNNNNNNNNNNNNNNNNNNNNNNNNNNNNNNNNNNNNNNNNNNNNNNNNNNNNNNNNNNNNNNNNNNNNNNNNNNNNNNNNNNNNNNNNNNNNNNNNNNNNNNNNNNNNNNNNNNNNNNNNNNNNNNNNNNNNNNNNNNNNNNNNNNNNNNNNNNNNNNNNNNNNNNNNNNNNNNNNNNNNNNNNNNNNNNNNNNNNNNNNNNNNNNNNNNNNNNNNNNNNNNNNNNNNNNNNNNNNNNNNNNNNNNNNNNNNNNNNNNNNNNNNNNNNNNNNNNNNNNNNNNNNNNNNNNNNNNNNNNNNNNNNNNNNNNNNNNNNNNNNNNNNNNNNNNNNNNNNNNNNNNNNNNNNNNNNNNNNNNNNNNNNNNNNNNNNNNNNNNNNNNNNNNNNNNNNNNNNNNNNNNNNNNNNNNNNNNNNNNNNNNNNNNNNNNNNNNNNNNNNNNNNNNNNNNNNNNNNNNNNNNNNNNNNNNNNNNNNNNNNNNNNNNNNNNNNNNNNNNNNNNNNNNNNNNNNNNNNNNNNNNNNNNNNNNNNNNNNNNNNNNNNNNNNNNNNNNNNNNNNNNNNNNNNNNNNNNNNNNNNNNNNNNNNNNNNNNNNNNNNNNNNNNNNNNNNNNNNNNNNNNNNNNNNNNNNNNNNNNNNNNNNNNNNNNNNNNNNNNNNNNNNNNNNNNNNNNNNNNNNNNNNNNNNNNNNNNNNNNNNNNNNNNNNNNNNNNNNNNNNNNNNNNNNNNNNNNNNNNNNNNNNNNNNNNNNNNNNNNNNNNNNNNNNNNNNNNNNNNNNNNNNNNNNNNNNNNNNNNNNNNNNNNNNNNNNNNNNNNNNNNNNNNNNNNNNNNNNNNNNNNNNNNNNNNNNNNNNNNNNNNNNNNNNNNNNNNNNNNNNNNNNNNNNNNNNNNNNNNNNNNNNNNNNNNNNNNNNNNNNNNNNNNNNNNNNNNNNNNNNNNNNNNNNNNNNNNNNNNNNNNNNNNNNNNNNNNNNNNNNNNNNNNNNNNNNNNNNNNNNNNNNNNNNNNNNNNNNNNNNNNNNNNNNNNNNNNNNNNNNNNNNNNNNNNNNNNNNNNNNNNNNNNNNNNNNNNNNNNNNNNNNNNNNNNNNNNNNNNNNNNNNNNNNNNNNNNNNNNNNNNNNNNNNNNNNNNNNNNNNNNNNNNNNNNNNNNNNNNNNNNNNNNNNNNNNNNNNNNNNNNNNNNNNNNNNAAACACACUAGCAUAUGUAACUAUCCUGUUUAGACUUGAAUAGCAUGCCUACUUGUUUAACUGCCUAUUUGAACUCUGUGCAGCAUGUUUAGUGAAAUUACCUGCUUUCCUUGACUUGAACUUAGUCUAAAAUUUAGGAUUUCCUGCUGUAAUUGUUAUUUCGGUUGGUUGCGCUACAUAUUUACUCUGCGACUACGGAACGGUAUUCUGGGAGAUCCCCCUAUACUGCAUAUUUACUUUGGGAUUACGGAACGGUAUUCCGAAAGAUCCCCAUGUUUUGCAUAUUUAUGUUGGGACUACGGAACAAUGUUCUAGGAGAUCCCCCUGCACAUUUACGUUUGGGACUACGAAAUGGUAUCUCGGGAGAUCCACUAUUUUUAUCAGUGUGUUCUGAGCUGUUGUCUUUCAUUUGAUUCUAUUCCUGCUAGAUUUCCGUAUUUAUUUUACUGCGAUAUUUUAUUCUGCCUUAUUUCAUUAUAUUUAUACCACUAGGGCCCUGACCUGAUCUCGUCACUACUCGACCAAGGUUAGGCCCGGCACUUACUGGGUACCGUUGUGGUGUACUCACGCCCUUUCCUGCAUAUGCUUUUCGUGUGUAGAUCCAGGUUCAUCUUACCAGCCUCAUCACUAAUUGCAGUCGCUGCUGCUUAUUGGAGACUUCAAGGUACAUAUGCUCGCACGCGUAGAUCCUUGGAGUCCCCCUCUAUCCCUCUAUGUUCAUUUUUCAUUCUUUCUGUAGAAAUGAUGUAUAGAACAAUUAAGACUUCUUAGUUGCUUGUGACUUACGGUAUUCCAUAUUUUGGAAAAUUGUUUUUGUAAAUUUUCAGAGGUGUUAAUUGUAUAUGCCGAGUGACAUUCAGUUGCUUAUUAGAUAUAAGGAUUCUAUUCCCUCAAGUCAAGGUUAACCACGACACUUACCUCGCUUCGUAAAUUCCAAUCAAUUACUCAACCACAUCUUUCUCUUUUAAAUUUGUCUCCGAAUGCUUCAAAUCUAUUCACAAACAAUUCAAUAUAUACUCAAUACGAAUCAUAGGAAUUAAUUCCAUGUGAAUUUAUUAAUUUUCCGGAUAAAAUUUGAAAUUCAUUAAAAUAUUCGGCAGUGGGACCCACGUCUCAAAUCUCGGAAAAACUUACGAAAUCCGAACACCCAUUCCAAGAUGAGUCCGGAUAUACAAUUGGUUUUGGAAUCCGACCUCAAUUCGAGGUCUAAAUCCCCAAAUCGACCCUAGCCCAGGAAAUGAAAUGAAAGGGCAAUCUACUAGAGGCACCUUCCUAUUCCUUGCCGCAACGUUGGGCGCAUCUGCGAGCGUCGCAAAUGCCAAAAUUCCUCGCACCUGCGACCCCUGGUUAAGCCUCCGAAUUCCACAUCUGCGCCUAUUCCUUCGCAGGUGUGAAACACCAGAACCAACAAAAACUCAGCAACAUCCCUAAGUCCAAAUUUCAUCCGUUAAGUAUUUGAAACACACCCGAGACCCCCGGGACCUUAACCAAACAUACAAACCAAUCCUAAAACACCAUACGAACUUAGUCGAGCCCUCAAAUCACAUAAAACAAUGCUAAAAUCAUGAAUCACUCUCCAAUUCAAACUUAAAGAAACUUGAAACUUCCAAAUUCGACAACCGAGGAUGGAUGGUGUGACAACUUUAUUAACGGAAUGAGUCUAUUUUUGUGUUUAAGUAAUAAUAGUAGUAGUAGUAGUAGUAAUGAAUAAAAGCCUUAAUCAAGUCUUUCUCUAAAAAAAAGUUAUUCAUGCGCCAUUUGGCACCAACACCCUUAACUGUGUGCUUAUGGUUGGAAACAAUGUUUUUGGAAGAAAAUAGCUCUAGUUAGUGACUUUGAAGUUCUUGAGUUGACUUUGAUAAUCAUUGAGUGCUUGAUUGGACCAUAGUGAUCUUUAACUUGAUUGUGAUCAUUGUAGGCUUUAGAUUCUAUCCUCUUUUACUUUCUAGUUGCAUGAGAGGUGAGGUGAUUUUUGUUGCUAGUCCAAGUAUUUGAGUGGAUGGUCUAGAACUUGCCCCAAAUAUUUUUCAAGGCAAAAUUCUAGGUUUGCUUUGUUUGGAAGGUGAUUGUAGGUUGUCCUUGGUAUGUUUGAGCUUUCUAUUGCCUCCCAAUAUUUGUUAUCCCUAGUCAACCUCUUUGAGCCUUUAGCCUUUCUCUAUUGGUAACCAUGCUACAACCCUUUACCCAGUGUGUCUAUAAUACUCUCGUGGCACCCGGACCUUCCUUAAUACUCUUAUGAAAUAAGUGGCUUAAGGCAUAAGUUUGGGGGGAAUGAUGAGAAAUGUAAAAGAUGUAUGAAGGCAUCAAAAAGAGAAAAGAAAUUAUCUCUAUGAAACGAUAAGGCAAGAAAAGAAAAAGAACAAAAAGAAAAUGCCAAAAAGAAAAUAAAAAAGGAGAUUGAUGAAAUCAAAAAGAGGCAACUAUCUCUAGUAUGAGCAUCAAGGGAGAAAAAGAAUGAAAUGAACAAUAAAGAGUGAUGGUAAGUCUCCCUAUCCCCCCCCCCUCCCCAAAGAAAAAGAAAUGCCUCUAAGGGUUGGUAAAUGUGAGCCGAUAAAUGAAAAGAGUGGAGUGCUUAAGAAAGGGUGUAACCUCUUAUCCCACAUGGUAUUGAACCCCAAUCCAAAAGCCUUCAUUACAACCCGAAAUAAGUCCUACUUGAUUUUGAACCGAGUGAGAUUACAGUAGUAGAGAUCUACAUGAGGGGCAAGCCUAUGGUACUUGAAGCCUUUCUUGUGACAUUCCUUUGUGAGAGAAGAGUGAAUCAUUCAUUGCUCUAGAAAUUGAUUGUUAAUUCUUGAAGUGAGCAUAGCAACUGGAGGGUAGAGGAGGAAGAGUUUAAAGUCCACCAUGAUCUACAUGAUAGAACAAGAGUCCUUGAUGAGUGAAGUCAAUUCUUGAGGCUCAAAUGUCACACAAGAGUUAUAUGCACGUAACAUAUGGUUUGUCACCUUGUUGAAAAUGCAUCAGUAUUGUGGGUAAUUGUUGGUCCCAACUGAAUAUAAAUGGCUUACAAUUGAACCUUUGAAAUGACCUUUCACUUUGAGGAGGCGGGAACUAAUCUAUUUGCUUGAGGACAAGCAAGACUUAAGUUUGGGGGAGUUGAUAAGUGUUGAUUUCAACCACUUAUUAGUACCUUCUUACUUAAGUUUUAGUCCGAAAGUACUAAUUUUUGUUCCCAAAACUAAUAAAAUGGUGUAAAUUACAGGCAUAUUGGAGGAUUGGACCUUAAUGAAUAAAUCUAACUCAAAAAGGAGUAUUCCGGCUCAAAAAGGCAAGAAGGAGUACAGCAGGUCAAUGUGCGGUCCGCAAAAGAAAGUGUGGUCGGCAGAAAUAUACCUACGGCCGCAGAGAAGACACCUGAAGCCUCAAAGGACUUUUAACAAGUGUGGUCCGCACACCAAAUUGUGCGGCUACAAAAGUUGGUCGCACUAACAAGAUUUGAAAAGUUCAGAGAAGGUGCAAAAAGACCAAGUGUGAAGCCUCAUCAAAGUGCGGUCCGCAGAUGGAAAGUGCAGCCGCAUAAGCUGAAGUGUAGCCGCAGAUGGAAUUGUGCAGUUGUGAAUCCCUCCCAACUGAAGAAGAGAAGAAAAGUGCGAACCACAUAUGGAAUUGUGCGGUCGCAGAACCUCCCGAAGGGCAUUUUUGUCAGCGAAUUUAAGGGCACUAUAAAUAGACGGGAAAUACUUUUUUAGGGCAAGUUUUGUAUUGUAAGAAGCUGUAACAGUUAUAUUUUAAUCUUUUGGGAAAGUAGUGACAAUUAUUUGAGAAAUCCCAUUAGUUUUAUUAUUUAAUUUUAGUUUAUGGCUUUAAAUACUUCUUCUACUUUGUUUUCUUCACUUUCUAGCAUGAGUGGCUAGAUUUUGUCUAGGGUUGUGACCCAACCCUAGUGUGUAAAUCUUAUGGGUUAUUGUUUUAAUGAUUGUUUAUGAUUGAGUGUUUAUUAUUUAUCCUUUUUUAUGCAUCAUUUCUAGAAUUAAUGGUUGCAAACAAUGAUUCAUGCAUAUUUGACUUAGUUCUUACGUGAGAAAGAGGGACUUAGUCUAGGAAAACUUGGCUAACAAGGAAUUGAGCUAGUUAAGGUUUUGGCUAGCCUAAUUAAAGGGUUUGAACUAGAGAUAGGGAAAACCCGUCUUGAGCUCAUAUCAAUUAUUUGAAUUGAUACCCAAUUGGACUUGAGAAAGCUAAUUUGGGCACAACCACUCUAUAACCGAGAGGUAUUGAGUGGGCACUUGGGAGUUAUAAUACACCCCGAUCAACAAAAUAGGCAUCAACAUAAUUACUCGCUAAUUUGCACCUAUGUGAAGGUUACAUCCCUAGGCUUUUUUCCAAUUGAUUAAAAACACCAAAAAUAAUUAUUCACUCUCUAAUUUCUUCUAAUUAGUUUAAAUUUCUUAGUAUUGAUAUGGAAAAAAAUCACCCUUUAUUUGGAAGUGCAAUUAAGUUGUUUCACGUGCUCCUUUCAAGUAUCUACCUCAACACCCUUCAUAAACACCCUGAGGAAUUCGACCCCGACUCUUGUUGGGUAUUAUAAUUGCAACGACUGUUUCCACUCACUAUUGAGUGUGGAUUGGACAUGGAUCAGUUGUGAAGGGAUGUUUAGCAUAUUUGGCUUACAUUUGUGAUUAUAGUGCAGAUGUUCCUUCUAUGGAUUCAGUAUCGGUUGUGAAAGAGUUCCCAGAGGUGUUUCCUAUAGAUUUACUAGGCAUGCCACCCAAUAGGGAUAUUGACUUUUACAUUGACUUGGUUUCGGACACUCAACAAAUUACUAUUCCACCAUACCGUAUGGCUCUAGCUGAGUUGAAGGAAUUAAAGGAGCAGUUGCAGGAUAUCCUUGAUAAGGGAUUCAUUAGAUCAAGUGUUUGUCCUUGGGGUACACCCGUAUUGUUUGUGAAGAAGAAGGAUGGUUCUACGAGGAUGUGUAUUGAUUAUUGGAAGUUGAACAAGGUUAAUAUUAAAAACAAGUAUCCAUUACCUUGGAUUGAUGAUUGUUAACUUUAGGGUGCCAAGGUGCUUUCCAAGAUUGAUUUGAGAUUUGGCUACCAUCAGGUGAAUAUUAGGGCUUUGGAUGUCCCUAAGAUAGCUUUUAUGACUCGUUAUGGUCAUUAUGAGUUCCUGGUGAUGUCAUUUGGGAUCACUAAUGCCCCCAUAGAUUUCAUGGAUUUGAUGAACCGAGUGUUCAGGCCUUAUUUGGAUUCCUAGAGAGGAGCAUGAGCAACACCAGAAAGUAGUACUUUAGAUUAUGAAGGGUCGUCAGCUUUAUGCCAAGUUUUUGAAGUAUGAGUUUUGUUGGACUCAAUUGCAUUCUUAAAUCUUGUUGUGCCUAGAUAUUGUAUCAAGGUUGAUCUUAAGAAGAUUGAGGCAGUUCAAAAUUUGUCUAGCCCUACUGCAGCUAUGGAGAUCUAGAGUUUCUUGGGUUUGGCAGGCUACUAUUGUCGCUUUGUUGAAGGAUUUUCAUAUAUUACAGCCAUACUGACCAAGUUCACUUAGAAGGGUGCUCAUUUUAUGUGGUAUAUGAGUGUGAGGAAAGCUUUCAAAAGCGCAAGGUGGUUUUUACUAUAGAUCCAGUAUUGGUUUACCCACAUGUUUGGGGUCAUAUAUCGUGUAUUGUGAUGCUUCACGUAUUGAACUUGGCACGAUAUUGAUGCACGAUGAUAAAGUGAUUGCCUACGCAUCUCGUCCAUUAAAGACCCAUGAGAAGAACUAUCUUGUUUGUGAUAUGGAGUUGGUAGCUAUCGUGCACGCACUCAAGAUUUAGAGGCACUACUUGUAUGGUGUGUCAUGUGAGGUCUACACUGACCAUCAGAGUCUCCAACAUUUGUUCAAGUAGAAGGAUUUGAAUUUGAGGAAGCAAAGGUUGUUGGAUUUGUUAAAAGACUAUGAUAUCACUAUCUUGUAUCAUUCGGGCUAGCCAAAUGCGGUAGUCGAUGCCUUGAGUAGAAAGAUGGAGAGUAUGGAUAGUUUUGCAUUUAUUCCAGCCGAAGAGAGACCAUUGACUAUGGAUGUUCAGGUCUUGGAUAAUAGGUUUUUGAGGUUUGAUAUUUGGGAGCCUAGUAGAGUUCUUUCUUAUGUGGUAGCACAGUAGUCCUUGUUGGAGCGCAUCAAGGCUCACAAAUUUGAUGAUCCUCAUUUGUUGGUGUUGAAGGACAUGGUGCAACGAGGUAGUGCAAAUGAGGUUAUGAUUGGAGAUGAUGGUGUUAUACGGCUUCAGGGCCGAAUUUGUGUUUCGAAUAUUGGUUGCUUGAGGGAGUUGAUUCUUGAACAAGCUCAGAGUUCAAGGUAUUUUAUUCAUCUAGGUAUCACAAAGAUGUAUCGUGACUUGAAGCGGCAUUACUGGUGGUGGAAGAUGAAGAAGGACAUUGUUGAGCAUGCUACAUGAUGUUUGAAUUGCCAGCUUGUGAAGUAUGAACAAUCAGAAACCAUGUGUUUUGGUUCAGAGGUUGGUGAUAUUAGAGUGGAACAGGGAGUGCAUUACCAUGGAAUUUGUAGUAGAAUUACCAUGGACUCUAAGGAAAUUUGAUGUUAUUUGGGUCAUCAUAAACAGAUUGACUAUAUUUGCGCAUUUCAUUCCGGUGAUAACUUUUUACACCUCAAAGAGAUUGGAUCAUAUCAACAUCAGGGAGAUUGUUCGCUUGCAUGAUGUGCCAAUUUCAAUCAUUUUAGAUAGCGGCACGCAUUUCACAUCGCACUAUCGGAGAGUUGUUCCGCGAGAGAUGGGCACGCAGAUGGAGCUCAGCACUGCAGUUCACCUGCAGAAGGAUGGCCAUUCCAAGCGGACCAUUUAGAUACUUGAGGAUAUGUUAAGAGCCUGUGUUACUAAUUCCUUAGGCAAUUAGGACCGGUUCUACCAUUGGCGGAGUUUGACUACAAUAAAAUCUAUCAGUCCAGCAUUCAAAUGGCAUCAUACGAGGCUUUAUAUGGUAGGAGGUGUUGCUCUCCUAUUGGUUGGUUUGAGCCUGGUGAGGCUAGGACGUUGGGUACAGAAUUUUUUUGUGAUGCCUUAGAUAAGGUGAAGUUGAUCUAAGAUUGUCUUCGUGCAGCGCAGAGCAUGCAGAAGAAUUAUGCGUAUAAGAAGGUCUGUAAUGAGGCUUAUAUGGAGGGCGAGAAGGUACUUUUGAAAUUUUUGCCUAUGAAGAGCGUUAUGAGAUUUGGGAAUAAGGUACAUUGAGCCUGAGGUUUAUUGGCUCAUUUGAGAUCUUAGAGAGAGUCGGAAAGGUUGCUUAUAGGCUUGAAUUGCCUCCUAGUCUAGCAGGGGUACAUUCGGUAUAUUAUAUUUUUAUGCUUCAAAAGUAUCUUGAAGAUAAGUCGCAUGUUCUAGAUUUUAGCACGAUGCAGCUUGACGAGAAUCUGAAUUAUGAAGAAGAGUUAAUAGCCAUUGUAGAUCGGCAAGUUCGAAAGUUGAGAUCUAAAGAAAUUCCUUCCAUGAAAAUGAUUUGGAAAUGUCAGCCGAUUGAGGAGGCUACUUGGGUGUCCGAGUCUGAUAUGAGGAGUAGAUAUUCACAUUAUUUUGGAAGUUCAGGUACAUUUCUAUGUUCGUCCAAGGACUAACAUUUCUUAUAGAGGGGGGGAAUGUAACGAUCUGAUAGGUCGUUUUGAGUUCCAAGUCUCCGUUUCAUGCUUUAAGACUUUGAUUAAAUUAUUUUGAUGAUUCAUGACUUGUGUGCGUGGUUUGUUUUAAUUUUGGAAAAGUUUAAAUGUGUUUUUACAAAGAACACUUGAAUUUUGAAGUUGUUGGAGUUUACCACUAACAUUAUUCUUGGUAAAUGACCUUGGAUCAGUGUUUUGAUGAUUCCGAUAGAUUCAUAUGAUAAUUUGGGACUUAUACGUAUUGGUUGGGUUUCUGGGUGACCCAAGGCCAUUUCGACGCUUAUUGUAGAAAGUUGUAAUUAGAAGUUACGAACAUGUGAAUUCUUCGGUUUUGAUGCUUGAUUCCUAAUUAUAGAUGUUAUUUUGAUGUUUUGAGCUUGCGAGCGAGUUCAUAUGAGGUUAUACACUUGUGUGGAUGUUUGGAUUGGGGCUCAUGUGAGUUUUGGAUUGGUUUUGGGCUAUUUUGAAAAGACUUGGUAUUGCUGGUACUACAGUCAUCGCAAUUGCGAUGAACUACUCGCAAAAUGUGAGGUUCGCAUUCAUGAAAUGGACCUCGCAUUUGCGAAGCUCGGAUUGGUAGGCCAGAUUCGCAAUUGUGAUGCUUGAGUCGCAUUUGUGACCCUUGCAAUUGCAAUGUGUGUGUUGCAUUUGCGGCAUCUGAGGCUCUAGGCCAUUUUUGGAUUUGCGAACAUUGGUUCGCAUUUGCAAGAUGCGCAAUUGCAAACUAGUGUUCGCAAUUGCAACAUCAGCAUCUGGGUAAAAAUAGGGAAUUUCAGGAUUAGCUUGUCUUAUUCCAUUUUUGAGACCUAGACUUUGUGGGAGGCGAUUUUUGAAGAGAAUUUUCUUCCCAUCUUCAAGGGUUAGUAUCUUUAAUUUAUUUUUGAUAAAUUUCUAUACAUGUUCAUCCCUAAAUAUAAGAUUUUAUAGAGUCAAAAUAGGGUUGAUGGGUAGAAACUUAGGAUUUUGUAUUUUAGAGAUUUAGACCUCAAUUUGAGAUCGGAUAUUGAAAGAAAUCACAUAUUUGGACUCGGGAAAGAAUGGGUAAUCGGUAUUUACUCUUGAUUUUGGAUUUCGAUCAAGUGUGUCCGGGUUGACUUUUGUUGACUUUUUUAUAUAUGUUAAAGAUCGAAUUUAUUAGAUACUAGAGUAGUUUCUAAAGCUUGUUUUUGACUUAGUUGGGCAUUAUUUGACUAGAUUCAAGUGGUUAGGAGGAUUGUUAUAAAGAAAAAGUUGUGUUGGAUUGUUGAUUUGGUUAUGGAAAAGACAAGUAUUGUGGUUAACCUUAAUUUGAGGGAAUUAGGAUAUAAUUGGAUCUAUAUGUUACGUGAUUUAUGUGUUGGGGAUGGCGUAUAUUUAAGGGGGCGAAUGUACAUGCGUUGUCAUAGGUUAAAUCAUACGGGGAUGGGGCGACUAGUUUAUUUCAUGCCUUUAAUUAUAUCAUGUCUUUACAUAUUUCAUUCAGUCAUUUGUUGUAUGCUCUUACUUGUCACAUGUCUCCACUUGUUUCAUGCCUUUUCUAAUCGCAUGCAUUUGCUUGCUACAUUCCUUACUUGAUAUAUGCCUUUUCUAGUUAUAUGCCUUACUGGUUACAUACUUUUACAUAUUACUAGAUAUACUCCCUUACUUGCUUCAUGCCUUUACCUAUUUCAUGGCUUUACUUGCUUUAUGUCUUAACUUGUUUCUUGCCUUACUAUACUAUGCUAAGUCGGAUUGUGUGACUAUUAGACUGUUCAUGUGUUUACAACUUGUUGGAGUACCUGUUGAUAUAUAUAUAUGUGUUUGUGUGUGUGUGUGUGUGAGGCUAGUUCUUGAAUAUUGGGUUGCCUAUCAUACUUGGUUCGUGUUUGUUUUUCGUUGGUUAAUUAUGCGUGUUCGUUCUUUUUUAUGUUAUGUUAUGAGCUUUGCCAUACCUGGUAGUUUAUUGGGUGUUUCAUUUUAAUUAGUAUGUUGGAUCGGAUUGUAUGCUGCAACAGUAUUGAUUGUUGAUGAUUUUGAGUUUUGGAUCGGGUUACACGCCAUGACAGUAUUGAUUAUUGAAGGUAUUAUGAUUGGAUCAGGGCACACCGCAAUGGUAUUAUGUUUGAAACGGAUAGUGUGUCUUGUGGUUAUUUCUUGGUUGUUGUUCUCCACUAUGGUGAUGUGUUAUAAGGAUAUGACAUGAUGUUAUCUUCUAGAACCAUUGCUAUGUAUUCUCUUAUUGAAUAUUAUGCUUUUAUUCGUCUCUUUCUAUAUUACUAUUGCUUUCUGCUUAUUACUUGCAUAAGUUUAUAAGUAUGUAUCUUGUCAUAGCCUCGUCACUACCUCGUCAAAAUUAGACUCGAUACUUACUGAGUACAAUGUGUUCAGUUGUACUCAUACUAUACUUCUGCACUUUUUGUGCAGAUCCCAGUGUUGGUCCCAGCGAUGUUCCCAGGGGUGAUUAGCUCGGACUAUUCAGGAGACUUGAGGUAUUUUCUGCAUGUCGUUCGCAAACCUUGGAAUCCCCUUCCUAUCCUUUUAUUAUUGUUUAUUGCACCAAACAAUAUUGUAUUUUCUUGCAGACUUUGUAUUUAGUACUAUCAAUAGCUCAUGCACUUGUGACACCAAAUCUUGGAAAACAUAUUAGUUAGUGUUUGGUUUUAGAAUCAUUAUGUAUUUUUCUGAGUUUUCACUCUUUAUAAAUAUUAGUAUGUUGUUAACUGUUAUACUUGUUUUAUUUAUUGUUAUGAAGUGUUGGAUUGCCUGGCAAGUGGUGUUAGGCGCCAUUUUGUCCCCUUGGUUGGGAUUUCUUGAUACAUAGUUCCACCAAAACAAUCAACAAGAGUUAUAAAAGUUCUCUAAAUUUCCACAAAAUAAGUGCCAAACCUAGAGCAACAAUAGAAACAAGAUUGCACCAAAAACAAUUGAAGAAAAGAGAGAAAUUAUUCUAAAAAUGAGCUACUGUUCAUGCCUCCAAAAUCGAAGCUACAUACCUACAAAUCCAAUCUCCACUGUUGAAAUCCAAGAACCAGAUGUUGAGAACUCCUAGUUCAAAUUUGAAUACAAUCCAAAGGUUAACGAGUCAGAAAUCGCUAUUUGAAGCGUACUGCCUGAACAUAUAUUUUUUGAAGUAAAUAAUAUAAUUUUCUCUUCCAAAGGCUUGAAAAACGGCUAUUAAGUUGUUGUUUCUCUCUUAUUGUGUUUUAGACCUAAAAUAGGUGAUUUUUAUAUUUUUUUGAUAUUAGUCGACUGUAGGAAAAAGUGGGAUAGGUCCAAAAGGCACCUUUUAAUCCACAUAGCAAGGGAAAGGCCCAAAAAACCUAACAAAUAACAUGACCAUGGUAGCCGAGUUUCUACUUUGCAUCUCUUUCGUGUAUGUGCACAUUCUCGUGUUCUUUGUUUCUUAGUCAUCCAGUUGAGACCAUCAUGAAUAAAAGCUGAUCUACUUAAUCUGUUCCUUGGAUAUCAGGAAUCAUAAGAUAUCAUGGCCUCAAUAUUUUACUCUCAAGUCCUAUUUACUAAGUAUAAACUCUAGUUUCUAUAUGUUUCUUUAGUUAUUUGUCUGAGAAGAGGCAUUUUCUAUAGUUUAAUUGUGUUGGAUGUCAUGAUAAGUAAUUUUCAGCUAUUUGUGUUUCUUUCAAUUCCUUUGUGUGUUGCAAUUUUGUAUUUUUUUUAAACUGUACGGUGACAAGCUUUUUGACUAGGAUUUUGUGGCCCAAAUGGGGAGGAAGCACCGUUCUACUUCCAGCAGUUUCUCGCUCUGGUUGCAAUAGCUCUGUUGUUUGCCAUGGGUCAUAUAACAGGGUUGAUAGCUCAUGUUUUCAAUCAACUCCUAGUAUGAAACGUGUGAAUAUUUCACUCGCCUCAUCGUCUGUUAUUUUAGUUAGUGUUGUUAGGCUUUUUAGAAUAGUAUCUUAUCUACUCAUCUAGCUAGGUAAGAUUUGUAGUUAAUCUUUGCUAGCAAUUCUAACUUCUUACAAGUUAGCCCUAAAUUCUCUUGUAAUGGUUUUAUUUCACUGCAGCUGGAUUACUGAAACUUUUGUGUCAUAGCUGAAUCAUUGAACAAAAAAAUGUAUGCUUGGAUGGGGUCCGGGAGCCUCGGGUGUAUUUUGGAUGGGUUUCUGACCAUUUCUCUAAGUGUUGGAUUGUUGUCAUCUGAUGUCUGGUUUCCUUCUUCGUGAUCGCGUAGCUCUUUUUGGUGACAAGUGGGAUUUGUGUAUCGCGUUCGCGAAGCUUUAGGGAGGUUGUGAAUCGUGAACGCGGGCGGGGAGCCGCAUUCGCAUAGAAGGAAGGUAAGGUGUCACGACCCAAAAUCCACUAGUCGUGAUGGCACCUAACCCAACCCGCUAGGUAAAUCAACUAAUAACUAUCCAAUUUCAAUAAUAUUUAACAGGACAAUUAAUCAAAAGAAAUUAUCUGAAUCUUAUACAUUCCCCAAGAACUGGUAGUACAAAUCAUGAGCUUCUAAGAAUAGAAUUUACAAAGCUGAAAUGAAAUAAAUACAUCGUCUGUUUGAAAAGUACAUAAACAGAGUUUUAUAGAUCUAAAGCUACCACGAACAAGGGGCAGCUACAACCGGAACACAGGUACAUCUUCAAUCCAGCUCUCAUCGAACACAGCAACAUCCGCAACCAACAUCUGCACGCAAGGUGCAGAAGUGUAGUAUGAGUACAACCGACCCCAUGUACUCAAUAAGUAACAAACCUAACCUUAUGUUGAAAGUAGUGACGAGCUAACAAAAAAAGGGUCGAGUCCAACACCAAUAUUUCAGAACGGCAUAGUACAAGUAACAAACGAGUAUUUCAGAAAUAAAAGGCUCAAUUCGUUCUCAGUUCCAGAAAAAAAAAUAGGCAUUUCUUUUCAAGUAUCUCCGUGAAAAUCCAAAUCUUUUAUCGAAAAAGCCAAAAAUACGGUGUUCCAUAUUUCCUUUCAGAUAGCAAGUGUUCAACAAUAAAUAAGGUGUUCCAUAUUUCCUUUCAGAUAGCAAGUGUAAGAUGCCUCUCUAUGCCCAUAUGUAAAAAAAUGUAUGAGAAGUCAUAAAUGACGUGAUACUAUACAGCUUGAGGAAAAAUGCAUCUCUAUGACUGUAUGCCAAGUGUGCAUGCCAAAUGCGAUGCAAAUUAGUGAUAAAGAUCAUAUGCAUACUCUCAGAGUAUCAAUUCACUCCGUCCUCCCAGUUACUCAGCACUCGGCACUCACACUCAGUAGGUACCUGCGCUCAUUGGGGUGUGCAGACUCCAGAGGGGCUCCUACAGCCCAAGCUCUAUAAUCCGCACGGACAACUUGCGUCCCAUAAUAUAAAUAUCUGUAAUCGCACAGACAACUCACGUGCGAUAGUAAGCCAAUCUGACCCGCUGCGGCGUGCAGCCCGAUCCCAUAAUCAUCUUGACAACCAGGCCCUCGGCCUCACUUAGUCAUCAAUUUCUCCAGUCUCUCGGCUCACAAUGUCAUGAUACCAACCCGAAAUAAUGAUACGAUGCAUCAAUAAAUAACAACAGAGACUGAGAUAUGAUAUACAUGUGAAUGCGCAUGACUGAGUAUGUAAUGCAGUGAACGAAGAUUACUCAACAACAGAAAUGACCUCAGUGGGUCCCAACAUGAUAAGCAUAUAGACUAGACAUGGUUUCUAACAUAAUCACAGCUCGAUAACACUAGUACGUAGAGAUUUCAUGAUUUCAGACAAGCUCAGAUAACUACACAGUACCACAUAAAUAACGAAAAUCACAGUUCACACGGUGCAUGCCCACAUGCCUGUCACCUAGCAUGUGUGUCACCUCAAAAUCAAACACAUAACACAUAUAUUCAGGGUUAAUACCCUCAGCUCCAAGAUUAGAAGUUACUUAUCUCGAACAAGCCGAUACCAAUGCCGAGCAAGCCAAACGAUGCUCCAAAGAUGGCAUCCCGUGCGUUCCAACCUCUGAACGGCCCGAAACUAACCAAAAAUAACUCAAGUACAUCAAAUAAUGCUAAAGUAACCAAUCCCGAUCGAAAAAGAUCAAAUCUUAAAUCAAAAGCCCAAAAAUCAGCCAAAAGCCCAACCCGGGCCCGCACCUUGAAACUCGACAAAAUUUACAAAAUCCAACAACCCAUUCAAUUACGAGUCCAACCAUACUAGUUUCACUCAAAUCCGACUGCAAUUAGAUGUUCAACACUCAAAAAUUAAUAUUCUGAAAACCAUAAGCCAAAACCCCUAAUUUCCUCUAUAAAAUUCACAAUCCAAUUGCUAAAAAUGAAGAGGGAUUCAUGAAAUGUAAUCAAAAUCAAGUAGAGAACACUAACCCAAAUCCUUAUGAUGAAAUUUGCUCAAAAAAUUGCUUCAUUCCGAAGUCCAUAGCUCAAUAUGUGAUAAAAAUGACCAACCCUCAAACUUAAUACAUUCUGCCCAGCGAUUCCGCAUUUGCGGACAGAUCGUCGCGUCUGCGACCACCACUUCUGCGGUAAAAACUUCGCUUCUACGAAAAUAGCCUUGCUCAGCAAUCCACGUACCUACGGAUAUCAAAUUCCGCUUAUGUGAAGAUUUUCGCACCUGCGCUUACAAUCUCGCAUCUGCGCGCAUGCAGGUGCGCUACAAAAAUUCGCUUAUGCGCUCUUCCUCACCCAGCCUCUUCUCGCUUCUACGCCUCCACUAACGCUUAUGCGACCAUCGCAGCUACGCAAUACCAGUCGCAGGUGCGAUCACACCAGAACCAACAGCCUUCAACAAUGCACUAUGCAACAAAAGUGAUUUGAACCUCAUCUGAAACUCAUCCGAACCACUCGGGACCCUGUCCGAAUAUAUCAACAAGUCCAAUAACAUAACAUGGACCUACUCGAGGCCUCAAAACAUACAUAACAACAUCAGAAUGAUGAAUCACACCCCAAUUCAAAUUCAAUGAACUUUGAAACUUCAAACUUACACAACCUAUGCCGAAACCUAUCAAAUCACGUCCAAUUGACCUCAAAUUUUGCAUACAAAUCACAUUCGACAUUACAGACCUGCUCGAACUUCCAGAAUCAAAAUCCGGCCCCAAUAAUAAAAAUUACACUCCCGGUCAAACUUUCCAAAAUUUCAACUUUUGCCAUUUCGAGCAAAUUCAACUACGGAGGUCCAAAUCACAAUCCAGACGCUCUCCUAAGUCCAAAAUUACCCAACGGAGCUAACAGAACCAUCAAAAAAUUCAACCCGAAAUCAAAUGUUAAAAAUCCAAAUUUGGUCAACUCUUUCAAAUUUAAAGCUCCCUAGUUGAGAAUCAUUCUUCCAAAUCAGUCUCGAAUAGCCUGAAAACCAAAACCGACAAUUCACACAAAUCACAAUACAUCAUACGGAGCUACUCACACCCGUAAACUAUCGAGCGAAGUGCAAAUGCUCAAAACGACCGAUUGUGUCGUUACAUAAGGCUGAGGGGUGGCACGAGUUUGUUCAUCGCGGUCGCGAGGAUGGGAACGCGACUGCGUGCCUUGGAGUAACUGGUCAUCGCGUUCGCGUCUGGCAUGUCGCGUUCGCUUAGGAGCUUUUGGCAGUUGGAAAUUUUUGUUCUUCACGAUCGCGAAGCUAUUUCCGCGAAUACGAUGUAUGACACCUAGGCAGACUAUAUAGUACUCUAUUUCGAGGGUUUGAGUCAUUAUAUCAUAUUUUGAGUUAGAGAGAUCGAUUUUGGGCGAUUUUGGAGGGAAUUUUCAUGACAUGGAUAGGGGUAAGUGUUUUUGACUCAGAUUUAUCCAUUAUUCAUGAUUCCAUCAUUGUUUUGAUCAGUUAAUUGAUGAUUUGAAUUGGAGAAAUUGGGAAUUUUUGUAAAAACUUUCAUAAAGUAUAUAUUGAGGAUUUGAAGGUCAAUUUGAGGUCGGAAUUAGAUGAUUUUGGUGUGGUUGGACUCGUAUCGGAAUGGGUGUUCUGAAUUUGUGAGUUUGGUUGGGUUCCGAGGUGUGGGUCCGGGGUUGACUUUUAAAUUUUUAUUAAAGGUUGAAUCUUUAUUAUCCGAAAUUGAGCUAUGGCUUUUAUUUAUGAUAUUAAGUUAUUUUGCCUAGAUUCGAGCAUCCGGAAUUGGAUUUGCACGGGAAUGGCUUAUUAGUGGAGUUAUUUAGCUUGUUUCAGGUAAGUGUCUUGCCUAACUUUGUGUUGGGGAACUACCCAUUAGGAUUUGGGUUGAUUGUACUAUUUGAACUAUGUGGAAGACGUGUACAUGAGGUGACGAGUGUGUACACGGGCUUAUAUGUAAAAAUUGACCAGGUUAGACUAUUAGGUUACUUAUAAGCAUUUAAUUGAAGUUGUUACUAUUUGUUCUAUCUUUCGUUGUCAAGUUUAUUCUUGCAUGCUUUACUUGAAGUUGUUAUUACAUGUCCUAGUUUUCAUUAUCAAAGUUUUCCUUAUAUGCAUUUAUUAGUAGUUGAGAAUAACUCAAGAAUGGAAAAAAAUAGCAUGUAACAUCAACUACUAAUAAUAAAUCCCCUUCUGGACGACUCUAAUCUAGCCAAAAUAACUUAAUAUCAUAAAUAAAAGCCAUAGAAAACAAUUCUGAAUAAUAAAGAUUCGAUCUUUAACUAAAAUCAAAAAGUCAACCUUGGGUCCGCACCUCAGAACCCGACAAAACUAACAAAUUCCGAACACCCAUUCCGAAAUGAGUCCAACCAUACCAAAGUCAUUCAAUUCCGACCUCAAAUCGGCCUUCAAGCCAUAAAUUUAUGUUUUAGAAAGUUUUUACUAAAAUUUCCAAUUUCUCCAAUUCAAAUCAUUAAUCAAACACUAAAAUCGAGGUUGGAAUCAUGAAAUAAUAACAAAUCCGAGUAAAAAAUAUUAACCCCAAUCAAAGUAGUAAAAAUCCCCUCCCAUAUCGCCCAAAACCGAACUUCAAAACCUUGUGAGAAAAAGUAACUAAAUUUCGUAACAAGAAAAAAAAUGUAGCAACUGUCCCAACUCGAAUCAGAUCUUAGAUGAUCCCGAAACUCACGUUUAAUAAUCCCAACAAGAUUCUUGCAAAAUUACGCUCAAGAUAGCCUCUUGAAUCACCCAACUUGGCUUUAAAAUGAGGAAGAUAUUAUAUUUUGAAGUUUUAAAAGAAAUCUGAAAAUUUCAGGGACAUAAAUGGCAUUUUCAUAAUUACUUACACCCGGAAAAAAAAUAAGCAAUAAGAAACUCUUUGUUUUAGCACCCAAAACUCAUUCGGAACCUCCCGGACACAAACCAUAUAUUCAUUUCAAUCAUAAAAUACGCUACGAACCUGCUCGCGCACUCAAACUACUGAAAAUAGGUGACCUUGAACCGAUAUUGACCAUGGACAAACUUCAAAUCCUUAACUUAACUAGUUUCUCAACCAAUGAUCCAAAAUACACCCGAGCCCCUCGGUACCCCAUCCAAUCAUACCAACAAGUACAAAUACAUCAUCCAAACUUAUUCAAAGCCUCAAAACACCAACGGAAACAUCACAACAAAGAAUCGAGACUCAAACCGAAUAGAAUUUCUCUUAAGUUGUUAAAUCUUUAUUCUUUAAAAAGAGUGUCUGAAUCACACUUAAAUACUUCGGAUUACUUUCAAACGUUGCACACAAGGUCAAUUCAACAAUAUCGACCAGUCGGGCCAUUACAUUCUCUCCCACUUAAAAAUGCGCUUCUCGAACGUGCCAACAGUUUUGCCAAAGCCAUCAAAUCAUUAUAUAAACUUGCCAUAUACAUACCCCAUGAGUGAUCCCACGUCACCUCAACCUAUAUAAGUUCGACAACACAUUCUACCGAAGAUUUGUACCUCAACUUAGCUCAAAACCCUUAGAACCUAAUCUCCAACUUUCGAAAUUCAAUAUAAUACCCAAUUCUCGUAUUUAUACCUUAUAUAAGUCUGAAUCAAGAUGCAUCAAGUUGUAACCAUAUCCCACGUAUAAUCACAUGAUAUUUCACAUAACCCAGAUACAUGUAGCAAUAGCUCCCGACCAUAAUAGCUGCUCAAAUAGCAAACUCGGUACCUAUAUAUAACCUCCUAUCAAUAAAAAUCUUGUUCCAAAUCUUCGUACACUGCCAAUGAUGAAAGAAACACGCAGAAACUCAUAACCACCCAUCACAUCAUCAAGCCAUGGAGCUCUCUUUCCCGACAAGAACCUUAGCCGAAAUCUAAGCUGACUAGUGACAUUAUCCUUCUAACAUACCUUAAUCAAAUCUGAUAACACUCAUUCCAGGUCAAAUAACCUCACCCUAUCCAGUACAAGUUGCUCUACCAAUAUGGCACACCAAUCCUAUUUAUAUUCGCAUACCAUGCAAUCCGUGCACCAACGAACAAUAGCUCAGAUAUACCCAAUGAUGGAAAGUGAAUGAAAUGAAAGAACCGCCCCGCCAGCUCAACAUAUACUAUCAACUGUGCCGGGUAAACAAAUUUGACCCGAUGUAGAAUACACAUUCUCAUUAAGCCUACCAAUGGCCUCCAAAUCAAUUUCGAUCCUUCCGAAAUAAGUAGAUAGCCUUUGAAAAGCCCACAAUAACAUAUCUAUAGCACAUACCAUCAGUCAUCCACCUCUUAGAAUACUUCACCGUCCGCAACCAUGGAAUAACCUGCCUCUGAGAAUCUUCUUCGUCUUCAGAUACUUAGAAUACCAUAAUCUCCAUAUUCGAUCCCUACUAUACUACUCAAAUGACUAACACAUUCAUCAUACACAACUAGUCCACGAGAAGUGCUUUCAUAAUUCCUUCUUGCCACAUAGCAAAAUCUGAACAUCAACGAUUGAUCAACCAUGUGAUUACCGUAAUACCAGUCAGGCAUCUGCAAGUCAAAACAUAGUGUGCCUUCUGAUGUAUGCACCCCCCUCGGGUGGUGUCAAAUAAUGCUAGCAUCCUUCUAAGCAUCUGGAAUCGUCCCUCCUAUCUAGAACUCGUGUCCCUAUUCAGGAGAAAAGAUCAUAACACGCAACAUGUUCCUUACGCCAGCAGCAAACAUCUGGCUCAAGCAGUGGUCGACACUAUCAAGAACUCUUCGAAACCCGUCCUCACAUAACCAAGCCAUCAUAACUGAAUUUCCCCAACUCAAUCAAUUCACGCAAGCCGUCCAACCUAACAGUAUUGCCAUAAAACACCAAUAGUGCAUCACCACACCAAAGGAACUAAUUACCUUUAUUACUAUCCUGACCCAUUAUCACCAAGCUGCAUUUCGGCGAAUCCCCCUCGACUUACCUUCAAGUUAAUACUUCUCCUUGCCGAUACACUACGAUCCUAAACCAAAGCUCCCCGCAAGAGACCCUAGCACGAACCACGUCGUUUGAAAGCCCAUAAACUACUCGGUUUUCUCUUAAGCACCCAAUAAUGCCGCAGCCGAGAUUCCCGCUUUGAAGAGACCUUCUGUGAAUCUAAUGUUUUUUUCUCUAACCUCUCUGAUACUGAAAUAUAUAAUGAAUAUACAUACAGAAAUACCGCAAGUAUCAGCACUAUCCCAUGUAAGUCUUAUAUUUUUGCCAUAUACAAUUUUGGGGAACCCUUCAAUACCACAUAUAUACCUCAGACCAAAACUGAUAUAACACAUAAUUAUGCAAUCUGACCGUUGAUAAUAGACUCCCCCACUUGGCGCGAAGUCAUAAGACAUAACAUUCGAUGAUCCACAAUACCAACCUGCAUAAGCUCGUACAACACCAAUCAUAAGAUACUACAAAUCAUCUACUAAGCGCAUGUCCACUCUCGUGACGGUCAAGCUCGAUUCCUCAAGUGCCUUGAAUGACAACAUGUACCUUUCACUGAAUAGAAGUCCAUAGUAAACACAUAGUCUCUAAUACCACUAACUAUCCUCAAAUCAACAUCCUCUCAUGACCCUACUAACGAUCACAACGACUAGGCAACCAAUUAAAUCUUCCCAUGCUCGUACUCACCAACUAGAUACAAGAACCUGUUGCAUCCCACACUUGAACAACUGAAGAUAUACCAAUAUUUUCACGUCCUCAGUCUAAACAACAUAUCGAGACAAUGAUUGAGCAUCCAUGGCCCUCUCAUUGCCCAUCCGCAGCAUCACAAACCGUUAGUGCAUAGUUGAUACAGAGUGCAAUAUCGUAUACGAGUGGAUGCAAAGGAAUUUCAGAUAUGUGCUUCAAGCUGAAUCAAUGAUGCACAAUAAGGAAUGAAAGAAGUGGAAUUUCCUGUAGUUUCAUAGCCCCCCGAAGAUAAGUACAGAUGUCUACGUACCGAUCCAAAAAACUCUACUAAACUUGCGUAUGACUCGUAGCACCGCUGAACCUAGAGAUAUGAUACCAACUUGUCACGACCUCAAAAUCAUGCCUUAGGAAUCUUGAUGGUACCUAGUAUCUAAGACUAGAUAAGCCUAAUACAUGAAGAGAUCUGACAUAUAUAACAAACUCAACUAUAUAAAAAUUGAACUAAUAUAUGAAAUUACGUAACUAAAACUGAACAAUAGUUAUACAAAUCCCUAGAACCGGUAGUACAAAGUCAUAAGCUCUACAGAAAUACACUAGAAUCUCUAAACAAUACUGCUUUGAUAUGAAGAUAUAUAGUAGUAAAGAAAAUAUCAAGAGGUGACUCCGAGGCCUGCGAGCAUCAAGCAGGUAUACCUUGAAGUCUCUAGCCGCGCAGACAUAACUCUCAAAGCCAACACGAUCCGAAGUACCUGAAUCUGCACAAAAAUAUGUAAAAACAUAGCAUGAGUACACCACAACGGUACCCAAUAAGUAUCAAGACUAACCUCAGUGGAGUAGUGACGAGGUAAGUCAAAACACCCACUAGACAAUAACUUGUGUAAGCAUAUAAAUCUAAAGCUAACAAUGGAAAUAAGCAUCAAUAUAAGGCUAACAACGGAAGGGAUAUUAAUAUAAGACUAAUAACAGAAUAAUGGAAACAACAAAUGGCAACGAGAAGUAAGCAAGUGAAAACAUGGCAAAGCAAUCAGGACACAGUUAAAAUAUGAAUAAAAUCUAUUAGCAUAAACAAAUGGCAACUCAUGUAAUCAAGUCGUCUCAAUUCAUGAUUUACAACAACAUUCACCCUGAGGCACCACACCUCAUAAUCACAAAUCAUAGGCACAAUCACGAAUCUAAACCCAUGGCACCUCAUGCCCACAUUAUUAAUCACCUUCGCAAGGUAAAGUCCACGUGCUACCACGUACAUUGUAUCUGUAUCAAUUGCCAAAUAAAAUGUUCGAGAGAUUUAUUUAAAUACAAUAAGCCAUAAUAACAAUCUUCAAUAAAGUAAAGCGUCAAAUUAGAUAAUGAGUUUAUUGUAGGAAUCAAGUAAAGUAAAAUAAGGUACAAUUUGUACAAAUUAGAGUAUCAAAUGAGUUUAGUUUAGAAAUCAAUAAGGUAAAGUAAAAUAACAUUUUUUUAAAUAAAGUAAAACAUCGGAUAAUUUUACAAAUUAGAUAUAGAAUUAGUUAAAGUAAAGCGUGAUAUCAAUUUUAAGUAAAGUAAAACAUAAAAUAGGGUAAUAAGUUUAAUUUGAGAAUCACUUAAAGUAAAGCAAGAUAACCAUUAAAGAAAACAGUAAAGCACCGAGUAAGAUUCGAGUUUUAUCUUAAAAGUCACAUAAAAUAAAGCAUGUUAAUAAUUCUUUUAUUUAAAACUGUUAUGUUACCAAUAACUCGACAGAGUAUUAGAUAAUGACUCCACGCAAGUAAAUUCAUCUUGAAAAUCAAUUCAGCAAGUAACACGGAAGCAUAGGUUGGCACAUUAAAGCAAGACAACAAAUCACGUAGAAUGUAUGACUCACUUAAGAAGUCACAAUCGUUCCAACACAAAACUAACAACAAAUAACCAAGUACAAUUAAAAUACAAGUGAGAAGAUUUAAAGAAAAGUAAUAACCGUUCAAAUCAACAAGCAUUUCCAAUGUAGAAUGCACAACAAAAUCACCCUGAGGUACCACACCUCAUAUUCACAUUUCACAAAUCAGAAUCACAAUCUUCCUUAUAUGUCACAACCCAAAAUCUCUCAUUAGGAGUCGUGAUGGCACCUAGUCCCUAGGACUAGGUAAGCCUAACACAUAAUGAGUUAUUAACAGAUUUAAACCAAUUGAUCAUUUAACAUGAACCGAAAGUUCCCAUACAUCACCAACUACAGAAAAUAGAUAUAAAACAUCCCAAAACCGGUAGUACAAAGUCAUAAGCCUUUCUAAGAUUAACGAAAAAUAUCAAAUGCAUCACUAUUUGGAAUAGAAAUAAACAGUGACAAAGAAAAACUCCAGAAGGUGACUCCGAGGCCCGCGAACACGAUGGCAAGUAUACCUUGAAGUCUCUGCAGCAACUCACGAUCAGCUAUCUAAUGACCAGCAUGCUCUGAGGUAUCUAGAUCUGCACAAAAAUGUGCAGUAAGCAUAGCAUGAGUACACCACAGCGGUACCUAAUAAUUAUCAAGACUAAUCUCGGUUGAGUAGUGACAAGGUACAGUCGAUACAUCUACUAGACAUAAUAAUCUAUACAAGUAUUGAUAUAAAACUAAUAUGGGAACGAAUAUCAAUAUAAAGCUAAACAUGGAAGGAAUAACGAUAUAACAUUAGAAAAUUGAAAGUAGAAGUAACAAAUAGCAACAAGGAAUAAACAGGUACUAACGCCGUAAAGUAAUCAGAGCACAGUUAAAGUCCCAGUGAAACCAAGUAAGGAAAAACAAGUAACAACCAAAUAAUCAACCGUUCUUACACAAGGUUUACACAAGAAUCACCCCCGAGGUACCACACCUCAUAAUCACAAUCACGGGUCCCAUGUCACGAAUCAUAAUCAAUUGGAAUUUCGUGCCCACAUUACCAAUCAUAACCGCACGGGGAAACUCAUGUGCUGCACGAACAACUCACGUACUAAUACCAUUAAUACCUCAUAUCUGCAUGGACAACUCACAUGCCAAUAGUAACAAUACCUCAUAUCCGCACGGACAACUCACGUGCCAACAGUCCAAUCCAAGCACAUAUGGCGGGUAUACAAGAAUAAAUGUAUAUGAUCAAUAAACAUCAAGAUUCAUACUCUUGUACUGAUAUGGGUGACAUAUUACAGUGUAUGCUUGUGCAAGUGUACUAUCACAGCUCAAGUCAACAAGUAAAAUCUGAGACACCGAGUAGCACAUUAGAAUCAACACAAAAAAAAUUGUAAUAUGCAUGACACACAGAAAAAGCUCACACCACCACACAAUUACCAUCAAUAUCAAUUUCCCCAGGCCAUCAUGAACCAUCCCCGACAUAGCUCAUCUUGUCUCGUCGCGUGCGCAAUAAUAAAGUAAAUGUCCGUCUUGUCUCGCCACAUGCGCAUAAUAAGUAUCCCAUCUUAUCUUUUCACAUACGCAAACUCAACAUAUACAUAGCCUGACUUGUCACGCUGCAUGUGCAAAUAUCAAUGGUAAUAAUAGCACAGAUAACUCAUAUGCAAAUACCCCGACAAUCCUCUCAAUAAUCCCACAUUUUCCAAAAAUAAAUCAACACAAUAUAACAACUCGUACCAUAUGUGCCCAUAUACCAUAUCGUUUCCAUAACAAAAAUUCUAAUACUACAACCACACAUAGCACACGGCUCAACAAGACCGAAUACAGCAAGAACAAUAAUAACACGAAAGUACGGCAAGUAAAUCAACACAAGAAUUACAACAAUACAAUGAAAUGGAAGAAUAAACUCAGCAGAGAAAGGCAUAACAUGUAAUAACGACCUCAAGUAAGAGUAGUUCAUCAAUAAGAGAGAUAACAUGUAACAUCGACUUCAAAUACGAAUUAACCGACUAUGAAAGAGAUAGCAUGUAAAAGACUUCAAAUAAGAAUAAAUCAACAAAGGAAGAGAUAACAUGUAAUAAUGACUUCAAAUAAGAAUAAAUCAACUAUGAAAGAGAUAACAUGUAACAAGAGCUUCAAAAAAGAAUAAAUCAACUAUGGAAGAGAUAACAUGUAGAAAUUACUUCAAAUAAGAAUAAAUUGACUAUGGAAUAGAUAACAUGUAGCAAUGACCUCAAAUAAGAAUAAAUCAACUAUGGAAGAGAUAACAUGUCAACAAAAGAGGCAACGACUUCAACUAAAGAAUAUAAGAGUAUAUUUGGCAAUAAGAGAUAGAACAUGAACCAAUAACUUCAAAUAAAGCAUGUAAGGGUAAGUUUAACAAUUGAGAAUAUAACAUGACAGGGCAACUUCAAUUAAAUGCACAUAAAAAAUCUAAGGGUCUGAACCGGUCAUAUUUACACAUAUAACGUCGUGUACUCACUCGUCACCUCGUGUACGCGUCCUUCACGUAAUUCAAAUAGUGCAAUCAAACCAAUCCCUAUGGGGUAGUUCCCCCACACAAAGUUAGGCAAGUUACUUACCUCAACUAGGCCAAAUCAACACUCACAAAUAGGUUUUCCUUAACAAUUCACCUCUACUCGGCUCAAAUCUAACCGAAAUUGACUUAACAUCAAGUAAUGCAAGAGAAAUCAAUUCCAAUAGAUAAAAUUAAAAUCUUCACACAAUUCCCCAAAAGUCAACUCCGGGCUUGCCCGGUCAAAACCCGGGUCCAAGGGUAGAUUCCGACUACCCAUAACCCCAAGAGUCCAUAUAUGUGUUUUGUUUCAAAAUUCGAGUCCAAUUCGACUCCCAAAUCCUAAAUUUUCAUUUUUCAAAACAUAGACAAAGUUUCUCAAAAUUUCACUUUGAUUCUCACAAAUUUGAUGUUAAAUCUCAUAUAUAACCAUAUAAAAUAGUUGAAAAUUGUUCAAAAUCACUUAUCCAAUGAUUGUAGAUGAAAAUCCCUCCUCAAAAUCGCCUCCUACCGAGUCUUCUAACGUUCAAAGAUAUGAGAAAUGAGGCUAAAAUUUCGUCUCCUAGCUUUUAUGUUCAGACGCAGGUGUCGCAAAUGCGAACCCCCCAAAUGCGAAGAAUGAUCGCAAAAGUGACAUCCCUCUCAGUCUUGCUGACGCUGCAAAUGCAACAAAAUGUUCGAAAAUGCAAACAUAGAGCACAUUGCAAAAGCGAUCAAAAUGACCGCAAAUGCGACUCAGCCUAGCCCAAGCCCCUAUCGCAAAAGCGAACAUUUUGUUUGCAAAUGCGAACCUGACAGUCUCCAGCUCUUAUCGCAAAUGCGAUGUCCCCCGUUGUAAAUGCGAACAUAUUCUCGUAUUUGCGAGACCUGAUGUAUCUGUGCAAAAACCAGCAAAGCUAAAAUUCCUCCAAACAGUCUGAAACGCGUCCGAAACUCACCCGAGCACUCGGAGCUCCAAACCAAACAUCAACACAAAUCUAAAAACAUAAUACAAACUCGCUCGCACGAUCAAAACACCAAAAUAAGUUCUAAAACCAUGAAUCAUAUAUCAAAAUGCAUGAAAUUUUUAUGAAACUCAAGAACUCUAUAAACACAACCGUGCAUCUGAUUCCUAUCAAAUCAACUCUGAAUGACACCAAACUUUGUAGACAAGUUCCAAAUAAAAAAAUAGACCUAUUCCAAGUCCCAAGGAAUAGUCAAACCAUAGUCAAACCUAAGGAAUUUCUAAACCUUCAAAUUGCCAACCUUCGGCAAAAUAAGCCAAGCCAACCUAGAGACCUCCAAAUUUAAUUCUGGGCAAACACCCAAGUACAAAAUCACAAUACGAACCUACCGGAGUCAUCACAACACUGUUCCGGGGACAUUUUCACAACAUUCAAACCCUGGUUAACAUUUUUAACAUAAAUUUCUAAAAUGAGAACCACUCAUCCAAAUAAAUUCCAAAACAUCCGAAAAUCAAAUCCGACCAUUCACGCAAGUCAUAAUACACCAUAUGAAGCCACUCAAGACCUUGAACCACUGAAUGGAACUCUAAGGCUCAAAACGACCGAUCGGGUCGUUACAUUCUCCCUCUCUUAAACAAACGUUCAUCAUCGAACGUGCCAAGAGUCUUUCCAAAGCCAUCAAAUCACUGUAUAAAUGCAUCAUACACCUACACACAGGUGAUCCCACAUCACCUCAAACCACAUAGUCCUGGCAACACCGUUUUUCACCGAAGAGCAUUCCUUCCACUCAUGCCGAUAAGCCUUAGAAUCAGAUUUUCACAUUAACCAAGGGUCUUAUUAACACACAAACACAUUGCAAUAUCCUCAUCUAGUCGUAACAGGUUAUGCAUACAUCCACAAGGUAUAACCACACGAUGCAACACAUCACCCAUAUUUCCAUAACAACUCUGACCACAAUAGAUGCCCUUUACCAAACCCAACAUCGGCAAAUAGCUUUAUAUCGACUAAAACAUUGUUCCAAACUUUCACAACACUGACAAUUAUGCAAGAAACAUGUGAACUCAUAAUUCAAACCCAAGAAGCACAACUCGAAUAUGAUUGAACAUGGACAGAGAAACAUGCGAGAGAACUAUCAAACAAGUCCGACUGGCAUAACUCCCUAUCGAUACCAUACUACAGAUCCAAUACACAAAGAAGAAGUAAGAUACACGCAACGAGCACAACGAAUCUUACCCUAAUAUAACCUCACCGCAACACGUAUCCUGGUACAAACACACCUAUCCACAAGGAACACCAGGUUCACAUCCUCCUCUCGGAAUCACAAGUAAGAUAAACAUCUCAACAACUAAAACACUAUAAUAACUCAAUCUCUUAGAACCAAUAUCGUAAUGCGUAAUAGACUUCCCACGCAUGUAGAGCACCCAAACCUCAAGUUGCACUAAACCAUAUAGAAAUCACAUCAUAACCAACCGUAUUUAACUUACAGAAAGUCCGCCUAAGCCCCAUGACCCUCAAUAGCAACCAAACAAGGGUGAUAUACAUGAGCUAUCACAAUAGAAUUCCCAACUGGUGUGAACACAUGAACAAAGUACAAAAAAUCACAAAACACAAUCAUAUCUAAAGCAAGAUAAGAUGAAUCUUACCAAUAAGUGGUACCAGAUCGAAAUAAUAAUAAUGCAUCUCUAUAAUGAACCGAAACCAUACAUGUAAUGAUAUCAUCUGGUACAUUAGCCUCAGUCCAAUCAGGAAAAGCAUAACAAUGGGCUUGGCUUCCCCCUCUAUGACGACCUCCACCCGCCCGACCUCAACCCGUAGCUGGCGGUGUAAGCAUAUCAGCAACUGGGAUGGAACUCAUAGCCUGAAUACACUGCUGUGGCACACCCAUCCAGAGUCUGGGACAAUCCCUCAUCAUGUGGCUGGUAUCCCCAUAUUCAAAGUAGCCUCUCCGCUGACGUGGCUGUGGAAGCUGUACGGUACGGGUACUCUAGGACCCAUGGAUAUCUGAAACACCACAUGAAGCCUCAAGUUAAAAACUGAACUGGAUGACCCACAAAACCUCUACCAUGAUGCAACAUGCCUCAAAAUAGGGAUCAGUAGAUCCUCCCCAUGCAAACUAAACUAGUUGACCCACAAAACCUCUACCAAACAAUCUGAAAUGCCGAAACUUACCCGAGCCCUCGGGGCUCCAAACAAAACAUCAACACAAGUCUAAAAAUAUAAUACGAACUCGCUCGCUCGAUCAAAAUACCAAAAUAAUUUGUAAAACAGCGAAUCGGACAUAAAAAUGCAUGAAAUUUACAUGAAACUUAAGAACUUCUAAAAACACAACCGCGCGUCCGAUUCCUUUCAAAUCAACUCGGAAUGACGCCAAACAUAGCAGACAAGUUCCAAAUAAAAAACCGGACCUAUUUCAAGUCCCAAAACAAAAAACCAAACCUGAUAGCCAUAAAGUCAAACCAUAGUCAAACCAAUAGAAUUUCUAAACCUUUAAAUUGCCAACCUUUGGCAAAACAAGCCGAAUCAACCUAGGGACCUCCGAAUUCAAUUUCGGACAUACACCCAAGUCCAAAAUCACGAUACGAACCUACCGGAGUCAUCAAAAUACCGUUCCGGGGUCGUUUUUAGAAAUGUCAAACCUCGGUCAAUAUUUUCAACUUAAGCUUCUAAAAUGAGAAUCACUCAUCCAAAUAAAUCCUGAAACAUCCAAAAAUCAAAUCUGACCAUGCACACAAGUCAUAAUACCCCCAUAUGAAUCCACUCAAGACCUCGAACCACUAAACAGAACGCUAAAGCUCAAAAUGACCGAUCGGUCGUUACAUUAUAUCACCGCGUGAGCCUUGCAUUUAUUUCAAAAAUAUUUUUCCUGAAAUAGCUACACGCGCUUUAGCCCCCUUAUCUCACCGCGUGGCUUCAAGUAUUUCCCUUACUAGCAACACACAUAUAAGUCCCACCUUAUCUCACUGCAUGUUUGUCAAUACCCACCCUUAUACCACCGCAUGUGUUUCAUUAUCACAACAUAAUAAUCAAAUCGCACCACACGUGCCCAUAUGCCACAACAUUGCCAAAAUCAACAAUACUAGUGUUACCACAACACAUAACCCAUGGCUCAACCACAAUAUGCACAAAAAUCUCAAUAACAAACAAAUGAACGAGAAAUAACUCAACAAGGAAAGGUAUUCUAAUAACCAACAAUUUUGAUCACAAAAGUGUUAAUAACUCUUCAGCAACCACAACUUCAAUAGAUCAACAAGGAAGAUAGUUCCAUGAAAUGGCAACUUCAAAUUCUAAUGCAUAACAUAGGCUUAACAAUGAAAGAGAUAGCAUGAAAUAGCAACUACAACUAAAUGCAUGAGAAUAACUCGACUACAUAAAGAAUAGCAUGUAGCAACAACUACUAAUCAAUGCAUAUAAGGGAAAACUCGAAUAUGGGAACUCGGCCAUGUAAUAACAACUUCAAUUAAAACACGUAAGAAUAAACUUGACAACAAAAGGUAGAACAAUUAAUAACAACUUCGAUUAAAUAAUUAUAAGUAACCUAAGAGUCUAAAUACGGUUAAUUUCACAUAUAAAACUGUAUACACACUCAUCACCUCAUGUACACGUCUUUCACAUAAUCAAAUAGUAAAAUCAAAUCCAAUCCCAAGGGGGAGUUCUCCCACACAAAGUUAGGCAAGAUACUUACCUCAAACAAGCUAAAUCAAUCUACUAAUAAGCCCUUCCCGCAUAAAUCCACUUCCAAACGGUUUGAAUCUAACUAAAAUAACUUAAUAUCCUAAAUAAAAGCCAUAGGACAUAAUAACAGAUAAUAAAGAUUCGAUCUUUAACUAAAAUAAAAAAGGUCAACCACGGGCCCGCACCUCGGAAGCCAACAAAACUCACAAAUUCCGAAUACGCAUUUUGAAACGAGUCUAACCAUACCAAAAUUAUUCAAUUCCGACCUUAAAUCGGCCUUCAAACCAUCAAUUUGUGUUUUAGAAAGUUUUUACUAAAAUUCUCAAUUUCUCAAAUUCAAAUCAUUAAUCAAAUACUAAAAUCGUGGUUGGAAUCAUGAAAUAAUAAUAAAUCCAAGUCAAAAAUACUUACUCCAAUCCAAGUAGUAAAAAUC
rnacentral:lncRNA from 1 species